UUUAACAGAUUCUUCUGUGAAGGUCAUAGCUGAAACUUGUUCUGGGUUAUGUAUGCUUGACCUAGUUAACCUGAAUAAGCCGACAGAUUCUACUUUAGGAUAUCUUGCAAAUGGUUGCUGAGCAAUUCAAACAAUAAAAUUUUGUCGCAAUUCAUUCAGGAACUUAAAAUUGGGAAAGUCUGCGUAUUCAAUUUUAGGUUGAAGAGAUAGUUGAGAAGCUUUGUGAAUUACCUUGAGCAAUGCAUGUCACCGGAAAGCUAAGAUGCUAAAGAAUUUGUUCAAGGAAUUUGCCAACUAUCAAUGAAGACUUCAUAAGAGGCGUGUUUUGGAACAAUAUGUGUAUCAGCUUUUGAGUUCCCAAGUAGAUAGGGCUUGUAGUUCCCAAGCAGAUAGGGCUUGUACACUAGAAUGCUUUUCUUGUUUUAAUAUUGGCUUGGAUGAUUAGGAAAUGCUUCCUUUUAACAUUUGAGUUUUAUAGUAUGGG